AGUGACAAUGAAGACUGAGGUGUCUGCUUUGCAGUUUUUUUUUUUCUUUUCUUGUCUUUUUUUUUUUUUUUCCUAAUCAUGUGGACAUCUCUGAGAAUGAGGGGACUGGGUGACUUUGCAGUGUCUGCUUUCUAAGUUUCAAAGUGACUUUCCAGGCAAGCUGCGCAUAUCUUGGGAUCUUCACAGCACAGUGGCUGGGAAGGCAGGCGGACCCGUCUAUCAGCUUCUCCCUGAAGACUACCAAAGCAAACCAGAGGACCAGAGAACAGCAGCUGCUCUGGACAAAGAGGGGAGGACACCCACACCCACAUACCAAGUUCUGGUUGACUUCUACAGCAGAAGAAGCAGGAGACACAAGAAGGGGAAGACACAAGGAAGCUGGGCAUGAUGGCCAAGUGUUAGAGGGUUACACUACUGCCUUCUGCUUCUGAUCUGAUUGAGUCACAGCUGAGAUGUGGCACCAGGACUCUUGGCUACACUCAGUUCUCUCAGUUUGACUGAGUACUCUGGGAUCACAGAAGUGACUACAUGAUGCUUGACUUGACCCUCUGACACCAGAGAACUUAUAGAUCUUGCUCUGGCCUCAAGGGAGGAGAAAAACCUCAAAAUCGAUCAGGACUGGAGUAGAUAACACUCCACUGUGCCUAUCAGUGGGAUUCUACUGAGCCACCAGGAGUACACACAAGGCUUCAGGCCCAAAGCAACAGGGCCCACCAGCCAUAGACAGAACUGUCUGAAGCUGUGAGCCCAAAGAAAUUCCUCCAUCUUGUUUUCCUGGGACUCUGUCACACUGAUGAAAAGUUCUAUGAUUCUAGGCUUUAGUAAGAAGGCCUUCGGAAUCUCCAAAGAAACCAAACGUGUACGUGGGAAGAAGUGUACUUGGUUCGUGUGAUUAUGGAGUCUGACAAGUUCAAAAUCUUCAGUGAGAGCUGUCUGGCUGUAUUCACGAAGAACCGAUGCCAUACUGUCUGGCUGGCAUUAGAGCCCUCUGAUGAGUGUGGACAACGGUGGGAACAGGAGGAAAACAAAGCCCAGAGACACCAGUGGGAGAGACCGUGUCAGGGAGAGCAAGGAUGCUGUGUGAGCUGCAUGUGAGUUUUGUGAGUUAUGAGUCACAGGUGGCUCCAACCCUGCUUUCUGUCCUUCAGUCUCCCAUUCAGCACCCAACAGAAGAUGCUAGGCACCACUCUGCAUCCUCAAGGGAUAUCGUAUGAAGCAAGAGGCAGGUUUUCUUGGGUCCACAGCAACAUCAAAAAAGAGCAAAACGGACAUGCAAAUAAAUCUAUUUUAGCAUUUGAGACAGACGUCCAACUGAGGAACAUGAUCAGAAGAUGCCAGCCAGUAUAAACAUAUUUUGAAAAUAUGUAUUUCAUUUCUUAUAUAUGUACAUUUGUUCUCGUCGAAAA
rnacentral:lncRNA from 1 species